AUUGAAAUGUAGUGCAGAAAAUUGAUUUCUUUAGUUACCUAGCCUACUGUGCUACGUCAACACUUCAUUCAUCACUCACUCUACUCACCUUCUUUUAUUAAAGAGGAAAAUACUUCACACUACCAAAACACUCACUUGCACUUAUGUUAUCAAUUACCCAGGCGCUCAUUCAAACACAAAAUACUUGAAACACAUUUCACAGAAAGAGGGAAGGAACAUCAUAAAAUAGAAGGUGUUAGUAAAGAUGAAAAACAUCAUUAAAUGCAUCUACUACAAUGAUGCAAAGUGGCUGCGAUUCUAAUUAGAUAAACAACGACCUAAAGAGAUGUCUUGGCAGCCAUAUAGAGGUUGAAGGAUUACUUCCUCAAUUUUGUUUAUCUGGAAGACGUACUUGAAACUCAUUAAUAUUAUUGAUUUGCUUCCGCAUUAUAGAAUGACAUCAACCUGAUCCUUGCCUCCAAUAAUUUGGGAUGGACCAACAUAUACCUCUGGCAACAUACCAGGAUGAACGCUACAUUCAAUUGACUUACGGGAUUACACUGAUAUUGAUUGGUAGUACAAAUUUCAAUCAUUCAUUCAAGUGUAGAACAACCGUCUCUCUUAUACGGUUUUAUCUUGUCUAUUCCAAGCACCUUUAGGCGCUCACUCAAACGUUGGAUUUCAUUUCGAGGUGCUAAAGUUGGAGCUGUGGCAGAUGGACUCCAACAUAUAUAUUCCAGUUCAAGAUCACGAACACGUAGAACUUCAUCAUUCCAUUGAAAAUUAUUUAGUUUAUUCGGUGCAAUGAACGACAAAAUUCGUACCAAAACUCAUUCUAUGCUUCAAUUUGCCCCUCCAUCUAUAGAGUUUAAACGUGUUCAAAUACCAAAAGAACUACAAAGACGAAGAAGAUGUAAAAUGACAUAUGGACAUAUUUCAAUUGAAGCUCUGCCAACAGACAAUAUACCUCAAGUUCCUUCCCCGACACAUCAUCUUCUGUAUCCAACUUGAGUGUACCAUCUGCAACAUUAGAAAUCCCAUCGAACACUCAUUAUACUUAGAUGAUGGCAACGUCAUUUCAAUAUACAGUACUUACUUCAAUACUUCUGCAGUGUCUUUCGGCACACAUGAUGAAUCUAUAUCUCUUGCUA